UACGUAGGGUGCGAGCGUUGUCCGGAAUUAUUGGGCGUAAAGAGCUUGUAGGCGGUUUGUCGCGUCUGCUGUGAAAUCUCAAGGCUUAACCUUGAGCUUGCAGUGGGUACGGGCAGACUAGAGUGUGGUAGGGGAGACUGGAAUUCCUGGUGUAGCGGUGAAAUGCGCAGAUAUCAGGAGGAACACCGAUGGCGAAGGCAGGUCUCUGGGCCACUACUGACGCUGAGAAGCGAAAGCAUGGGGAGCGAACAGG
rnacentral:rRNA from 1 species